rnacentral:rRNA from 1 species
AGUGCAUGCGAGGCGCAGCCGCUGUAUAGCACUGACGCUGCCGUGNNCNGNAAGNUAAGAGGAUCNGUCAGCCUCGGGUGAAGCGUGAAUUCAAGCCCCGGUAAACGGCGGUGGUACCUAUAACCAUCCUAAGGUAGCGAAAUCCUUGUCGGGUAAGUUCCGACCUGCACGAAUGGCGUAACGACUUCCCCACUGUCUCGACCAGGAGCUCGGCGAAAUUGCAGUACGAGUAAAGAUGCUCGUUAAGCGCAGAAGGACGAAAAGACCCCGGGACCUUUACUAUACCUUGGUAUUGGCAUUCGGUGUGGAUUGUGUAGCAUAGGCGGGAGGCCGAGAGGCGCGGUCGCCAGAUCGCGCGGAGCCGUAAGGUGAAAUACCGCUCUGUUCGCAUUGGAUGUCUAACCUCGAACAGUCAUCCUGUUCAGGGACAGUGCCUGGCGGGUAGUUUAACUGGGGCGGUUGCCUCCCAAAGAGUAACGGAGGCGCCCAAAGGUCCGCUCAGCCCGGUUGGCAAUCGGGUGGCGAGUGCAAGUGCACAAGCGGGCUUGACUGCGAGGACGACGGUCCGAGCAGGGACGAAAGUCGGGACUAGUGAUCCGGUGCCGGUGUACGGACGCGGCAUCGCUCAACGGAUAAAAGGUACCCCGGGGAUAACAGGCUGAUCAUUCCCAAGAGUCCAUAUCGACGGGAUGGUUUGGCACCUCGAUGUCGGCUCGUCGCAUCCUGGGGCUGGAGCAGGUCCCAAGGGUUCGGCUGUUCGCCGAUUAAAGCGGCACGCGAGCUGGGUUCAGAACGUCGUGAGACAGUUUGGUCUCUAUCCUCUGCGCUCGUUGGAAUGCUGAGGAGGCCUGCCCAUAGUACGAGAGGACCUGGGUGGACGAACCUCUGGUAUGCCGGUUGUCACGCCAGUGGCACGGCCGGUUGGCUACGUUCGGAAGGGAUAACCGCUGAAAGCAUCUAAGCGGGAAGCCUGCUCCAAGAUAAGCAUUCCGUGGAACCUUCGAGUUCCUGUAGUCCCCAUGCAGAACACGUGGUCGAUAGGCCGGACGUGGAAGCCCCGCGAGGGGUGGAGCCGACCGGUACUAACGGACGAAAGGCAACACUAA